CUAAACUCUCAACCAGGGCAAAGGAAAUAAAGGACGUCAAAAACGACAAAGGAAACGUUUGGAAGAUCAAGACAACAUGGAAGACGAGGUUGAGGAAGCAUCAUCUGACGACGAGGAAUAUGAAUAUGAGGACGAGGUGCCCACGGAAGAGCCUUUUCCCUCUCGAGAGGAGAAGGGCGAAGGGGAGGAGCUAAAAUACUCAGCAACAACAGCUAUAUACACACAAGAAAAUGAGGGUGAAACAACUUCUCCGAUUACGCAGUCUUUAGAGGAGAUUACAAUGAUGGUUUACACAACAACAGCGAGUCCCCUGCUUUCAUCAAAAUUCACAGAGCAGAAGCCGCCUGAAACCACGUUAUUAUCAGUGCUAAAUACAACACAAACUGGAGAAGAGGAGCUCCCCUAAACUCUGUAAGAGAGACAUUCAAGUGUGUAGAAACUGUGAAGGGUAAAAGAGGGGGAGGAUCUGACUGGCCGGCAUUACUUUGGGAGAGCCUCCUUUCCCAUCACACAAUGAUGAUGUCAUUCGUCCAUGCUGCCUCCACCACGACUAGCGUUCAGUAUGCUCCAGUGCCUUUGAUAGAUUGAGAAGAACCACCGGCACUCUCUGAGGAGAGACCAGCCCGGUAAAAACAUAAAGAACAGAUCUUGUAAUGUGCUGUCUUUACACUUACUGAACAAAUGCAAGCUAAAUCAUCUAUAAUCCAUGUAGAAGUGACAGCACAAAACACUAAUGAAUGAAGUUGUUUUAAUAGAAAAUCAAAUAAAUUACCCUGACAGCUCAUUCAACAUCGAUUUGUUCAUCAGUUCCUUAUUUAUUGAUAAGACUGAAAAAAGAUUGUAUUUUGGUUGUCUGCAUAUUUAGUUUUUCAUUUGCGGUAACAUGUUGUGCUACCUGUUUUCACUGGUGAAAUUCAAUGGCAUAUUGCUUUUCUUUCAUAUUUAAUCUGUUUGUGCAUGUCUGUCAGUAAAUGUGUUCUUCCUAAACCAGUCUUAA
rnacentral:lncRNA from 1 species